GGGGGCGCCCUCGGGGAGAGCGCGGGCCUGGUGCUUCGGCGGCCCCGGGCUUGCGGCGGGGUCGCCGGGGGGACGCCCCUCAGGCCUGCUCUUAGGAGCCGAAGUCGGGCCGGGGCGCCGUACGCGGGCAGGGCCCGGAGCUGGGCCUUCGGCUUCGUGAAAGCCCCAGCCCCACCCAAGUGGAGAAAUGCACACCAGGAGGACAGGGACCAGGCUGUGUGCCCAGGGUCCAGCAACCCAGCAAUCCCAGCGCAUCUAUCUGCCCACUUACUGUUUCAGAGCAGGAGAAAAGGAAUGUCUCCUGGAAAUGACUUUUUGAGAUGAAAUUGUUUGACCACCUCUGGAAGCAACAAUCAGGAGCAACAGAAAUCCAUGUUUGUUCAGUGGGUUAGAGGACAUGGAGUGGAAGACUUUGAGGAGGAGAUUCUGUGCUAGACUGGUCUUGCUUAGAAGACAUUUCCAGAUUAUAUCCAUUGUUUUGUAUGUGCAUUUUAUUUCUCACUGCUAUAUAUAUAGUUGACAAUAAGUACUUUUUAGAAAUAUCUAGUCUUUCUGGGUAUUUAGAAGUGCUUGAUGUAUUUAAAAGUAGUAGUAGUAAAAUAAUGCUUCUUGUAAAUAGCUUUCUAAAAUGUGGGAAAUACUGUCUUGGGAAAUGGAAUUGUUAAACCUCCUUUCUGACCCUAUACUCUACUUGUUCCUUGGGCUGAAGGAAGUGGGAGGGAAGAUUGCAAAAGAUGUUUUGCUAGUGUGUACUAAAAAAUUUCAACUUAUCAGUUGUUCUGUGUUACAUGCAUUUUGUAUAUGCUGGACAAAUGGGCCCAAUUUUAUAAUACGUAGUCUCUAGAUGUUAAAAAGAGGUUGCUAAUAUAUGACUAAAGUAGAGUUAGUAAACUAACGUUUUGUACGCUUGCUUAAAAUUUCAUUGAAAGGCUGUUUUCUGAAAAGGACCUUUGAAAAUGAAAUUGUAAAUCACAUCUAAGUGACACAUGUGCCUGCACCCACCGUUGGAUGGACUGUGGGAAGGAGGAGUUAGGAGAAAUGAAGGGUUCUAAACUCGAGUGUUCCUGUGUAGAAGACACUUUCAGAUAUAACCAUUGCUAACAUGUGGUUUAUUCAACACUACUGUGUAUACAGUGGACAAACUUAAGUCCUUAUUUGAAACAUCUUGUCUUUCUAGAUGUUUAGAAGUACACAAAGCAUGUUAAAAGUAGAGGUAGUAAAAUAACAUUUUGUAGAUAGCCUUUUGUUAACAUUCAUGAAGUACUGCCCUUCAGAAAUGGAAUAAUCAAACCACCUCUCUGAGCAGUGCACAUUUGUGCUGGUUCAAGGAGGAAGAAGAGAGUACAAGGGCUUUAUUCCAAUAAAUAUGUUUAUAGUUAGGCAAGUUUAACCAUUGCCCUGUAUGUCUGUGCAUUCUGUUUUACUUAGGUAUAUAUAUAGUGUACAUAAAGGAUAAACGCCCAAAUUUACAUCUCAUCUUCCUAGAUGUUAAAGAGGUUGCCAAUGUAUGACAAAAGUAGUGAGAAAAUAAAUACAUUGUGUAUACUUUGUGUUAAAAUUCUUAAGAUUGUUUUGAAAACGACUGGAGGAGGUGAAAUUGUUAAAGUCCCUUCUAAGUGCUUAUUACACCUGUCCACUAGGUUGACAGAGAUAAGAAGGGGAAGGGUUCUAGGCCAAUGUUCCUGUUUAGAAGACACUUUGAGAUUAUGGCCUUUGUGUGCAAUUUGUUCAAUACCACAUGUAUGUAAACUUAAAUCCUUAUUUGAAACAUCUAGUCUUUCUGGAUGUUUAAAAGUGUACAACAUAUGUUAAAAGUAGAUAAAGUAACACCUUUUAAGUAUUUUUUCUGUGAAUUCAUAGGAAUGGUCACAUGUGAGGAAUGGGAUUGUUAAACUUGAGCCUUGGAGACUAUGCUGACUGAUCACUGGGGUGGUGGGGGUUGGAGGGACAGGGAAGGAAGUGCAGAGAAGGGUUCAGUGCUCUAAAGACAGGUUCAGACUGUCUAGCCAUUGUUCUGUUUGUGCAUUUUAGUUAAUAUUGCUGUGUAUUAAGGAAUAAACAAGUCCUACUGUUCAAAGUAAAAAAAAAAAUAAAGAAAUGUAGAG
rnacentral:lncRNA from 1 species